AUGGAUAUGAUGAACUUUGUUGCAAUUGUUUGCUUAUGGUCACACUGCAUAUACUGGUUGAGAGCAGAACUGGGAGGGCAAUUAAAGCAAUCUCCUUUAGUGGGAAUGGAUCUGCAUGAGCAGAACUGUGCACCAUGUAAGGGCCAGCUGGCACUGUCCUGUAGCUGUCACAGAAAUGUCUCCAGCCUCCUUCUGCAAAGCUCCAUAACCAGGUCUGGUCAGUGUGGGAAGUCAGAAACCUUCAGAGUAACAGUGGUGGCUUGAACAACAAAUACCAUUAAUCUGGAGAGAAUCAAAUAAUUUUAUCUGGUUUUGUUUGCUUUACAUCUCUGUAUGUUUUAAAGCUGCCUCAGAAAUUUUGAAUCAGGUAAUGCUUUCUUGUCAGUCUCUGGGUUCACUAUUUAGCAGGAUCACUGGGUCUUAUAUCACAUAGGUGGGGCUAGGCACUUCUCCUCCUGUCUCUCAGCUCAGGUGUCAUGAGCGAUGUCUGUAUCAAAGGCUCACAUUACAAAAUCUUGAUGCUGCUUCUUUUUUAAUCAAGUAGUAUAAUUGCCCUCAAAAUCCCUCCUCAUGACUUAUGAGUUCUAAUUAUAUUUUUCUCUUCAAAUAGAGGGUUUGGCUUUUUUUUUUCCUCUAGUUCCUAAGGAUAAAAUAUGCUUCCUGGAAAUAAUUGGCCCGACUGCCCUUUCUUGCAAAAAUACACUGGAAAUUCUCUGGAAGUUGCUCUGGAAUAUGUUUUUCAUUUUGAAAACCCUACUCCAAUGGUAAGCUAUUACAUCCCAUGANUUUAAUAUUUUGAGCCUGCUUUGCCUUUCUCCUAAUCCUACCUCACAGCAGGGAGUUCACUGGUGAGUGGCCAGCAGCAAACCUGCCACAUGCCUAAACAGAGAAAUUUUCACUGAAAAUUAUGUUUAUAUUGUAUUUUUAUCUAUUUCCUGUAAAGAGAAUGAGCAAGCCAGAAAAAUUAUAUUAACCCAUCUUCCACCUUAUAUCUUUUCCCCAGCCCAUUUCCAAAGCAGUUAGGCUGAGUCUUCCAUUCAGGUGCAUCUUCUCUUUAUGGUGUACUGCAAAUGCUCCUGAUGACAGCAUUUCCAUCCAAGGCAGACCUUCCUGUGGCUAACUGAGCAACUCAGAGUUGUCCCUGAGGAGCACUGGGGCUGUUCCACAUUGAUUGAGCUGCAGAGGUGUACAUGAAAAAUGAAGUGGAAUGGAUGUCCUACUGGUGUCUUGAUCAUUUCAGGAACCAAUUGGCUUGAACAAAUGGUGAAGGAGUUGGCAGAUGCCAAAAAUGCAGAAGAGGAAAUGAAAGAGAGAAUAAAUGCUGAAAAGAAGCUAGAGAUAUUUCA
rnacentral:lncRNA from 1 species